rnacentral:rRNA from 1 species
AACGAACGCUGGCGGCAUGCCUAACACAUGCAAGUCGAACGAUACCUUCGUUUCUGGGGGCGCACGGUUGCGUAACGCGUGGUAACCUGCCCUUAGGUUCGGAAUAACUCCCCGAAAAGGGUGCUAAUAUCGUAUAAUUUCUGCGUACCUAAGAUUUAUCGCCUGUGGAUGGUCCCGCGUUGGAUUGGCUAGUUGUUAGGGUAAAAGACUACCAAUGCGACGAGCCAUAGCUGCUGUGGGAGGAUGAUACGCGACACUGGGACUGAGACACGGCCCAGCCUCCUGCGGGAGGCAGCAGUGGGGCAUAUUGGACAGUGGGCGAAAGCCUGAUCCAGCAAUGCCGCGUGAGUGAUGAAGGCCUUAGGGCUGUAAAGAUCUUUUACCAGGCAUGAUAAUGACAGUACUGGGAGAAUAAGCUCGGGUAACUUCCGU